rnacentral:rRNA from 1 species
AGUCGAACGGAAAGGCCCUGCUUGCAGGGUACUCGAGUGGCGAACGGGUGAGUAACACGUGGGUGAUCUGCCCUGCACUUCGGGAUAAGCUUGGGAAACUGGGUCUAAUACCGGAUAGGAACCAUCUUUAGUGUGGUGGUUGGAAAGUUUUUUCGGUGUAGGAUGAGCUCGCGGCCUAUCAGCUUGUUGGUGGGGUAAUGGCCUACCAAGGCGGCGACGGGUAGCCGGCCUGAGAGGGUGUACGGCCACAUUGGGACUGAGAUACGGCCCAGACUCCUACGGGAGGCAGCAGUGGGGAAUAUUGCACAAUGGGCGCAAGCCUGAUGCAGCGACGCCGCGUGGGGGAUGAAGGCCUUCGGGUUGUAAACUCCUUUCGCUAGGGACGAAGCUUUUUGUGACGGUACCUAGAUAAGAAGCACCGGCUAACUACGUGCCAGCAGCCGCGGUAAUACGUAGGGUGCGAGCGUUGUCCGGAAUUACUGGGCGUAAAGGGCUCGUAGGUGGUUUGUCGCGUCGUCUGUGAAAUUCUGGGGCUUAACUCCGGGCGUGCAGGCGAUACGGGCAUAACUUGAGUGCUGUAGGGGUAACUGGAAUUCCUGGUGUAGCGGUGAAAUGCGCAGAUAUCAGGAGGAACACCGAUGGCGAAGGCAGGUUACCGGG